CACAUGACUUGCCUCCAUAAGAGAGCAUCAGUCAUCUUCUGCAUAUAAAUUUCUCUUCUCCGAUUCACUCUGUAGCUCAAAACUAUGUCACUCUCCUUGCAGUCUCCGCCCUCUUCAGCUCUCUCCUCCAAAUCUUCACUUCAGGGAGGACACUUGAGGCUUCUUGGUCGAUCGGGAGUUUCUAAUGCGGUCUUCUUCAACCUCCAACCAUCUUUUCCUCAAAUUCGUGCUUCUGCUGGCUUUUCUUCUUCUCUCGAUACUGGUGCGAGCACUGAAUUAGAUGCUGUAUCUAGAUUCAGUGAGAUCGUUCCUGACACAGUCAUUUUCGAUGAUUUCGAGAAGUUCCCUCCA
rnacentral:misc_RNA from 1 species